rnacentral:rRNA from 1 species
UACGGGGGGGGCAAGCGUUGUUCGGAAUUACUGGGCGUAAAGGGCUCGUAGGCGGCCAACUAAGUCUGAUGUGAAAGCCCUGGGCUCAACCUGGGAACGGCAUUGGAAACUGGCUUACUAGAGUGCGGUAGAGGGGUGUGGAAUUCCCGGUGUAGCAGUGAAAUGCGUAGAUAUCGGGAGGAACAUCUGUGGCGAAGGCGACACCCUGGACCAGCACUGACACUGAGGCACGAAAGCGUGGGGAGCAAACAGG